CGCAGGGGUCAGUGGGGCCCUGUUGUUCCUGCUCCUGCUCGUGGGUGCCAUUGUGGCCUGGCACCGGUGGCACCGUGUGGCUGCCAGGAAGAACCAGGAAAGGGCCCCCCCGGAUCCCCCGGCCCCCCCAGAGGAGGGGGAGGUGCUGUACACCCACG